rnacentral:rRNA from 1 species
CCUACGGGGGGCAGCAGUGGGGAAUAUUGCACAAUGGGGGAAACCCUGAUGCAGCGACGCCGCGUGAGUGAAGAAGUAUUUCGGUAUGUAAAGCUCUAUCAGCAGGGAAGAAAAAAGACGGUACCUGACUAAGAAGCCCCGGCUAACUACAUGCCAGCAGCCGCGGUAAUACGUAGGGGGCAAGCGUUAUCCGGAUUUACUGGGUGUAAAGGGAGCGUAGACGGUAUGGCAAGUCUGAAGUGAAAGCCCAGGGCUUAACCCUGGGACUGCUUUGGAAACUGUUAGACUAGAGUGCUGGAGAGGUAAGUGGAAUUCCUAGUGUAGCGGUGAAAUGCGUAGAUAUUAGGAGGAACACCAGUGGCGAAGGCGACUAUCUGGCACAUAACUGACGCUGAGGAGCGAAAGCGUGGGUAGCAAACAGGAUUAGAUACCCCGGUAGUC